AGGUAUAUAACAAGUUCAGGCACAAUGGAGAUAAGGAAACAGAAAAAUUUAGAUCAAAGGAAAAAGUUUGGAUAAAUAAAUUAAAGGACCAAUAAAGUCACCCAGGCCACUAAAUGUCAAUGAAGUUGCCUUGGUGCAGAGGUUCUGACAAUUUAACCCUGCAAAGUAAAACAUUGCCAUUUUGCAGAAAAAGCAAUGUUUACCUUGAACAGUUAAACACAGCUCCAUUGGUUAUUACACUGACAGCCACUGAAGGCAUUUCCAUUGCCCUGACGCAGAAGUCUGCACAUGAAAAGGGGAAGCUUGGAUGCACGUGUGACACUAAUUGUGCAUGUGCAUCAUGUCCCUAAUGUUCCUCUAUGAGGAGCAUUGGAUUUGACCACAGCAGAGGAGGCCAGUGCAAGGUGAGUAAAAAUCUUUAUUUCAUAAUUUUUAUGGGACAUGAGAGGGGAGGGCCUGUAUAAUUG